rnacentral:rRNA from 1 species
CCUACGGGAGGCAGCAGUAAGGAAUAUUGGUCAAUGGACGCAAGUCUGAACCAGCCAUGCCGCGUGGAGGAUGAAGGCCCUCUGGGUUGUAAACUUCUUUUAUCUGGGACGAAAAAAGGUUUUUCUAAAUCGUCUGACGGUACCAGAUGAAUAAGCACCGGCUAACUCCGUGCCAGCAGCCGCGGUAAUACGGAGGGUGCAAGCGUUAUCCGGAUUCACUGGGUUUAAAGGGUGCGUAGGCGGGCAGGUAAGUCAGUGGUGAAAUCCUUGAGCUUAACUCGAGAACUGCCAUUGAUACUAUCUGUCUUGAAUAUUGUGGAGGUGAGCGGAAUAUGUCAUGUAGCGGUGAAAUGCUUAGAUAUGACAUAGAACACCCAUUGCGAAGGCAGCUCACUACGCAUAUAUUGACGCUGAUGCACGAAAGCGUGGGGAUCAAACAGGAUUAGAUACCCUGGUAGUCCACGCCCUAAACGAUGAUUACUCGACAUACGCGAUACACUGUGUGUGUCUGAGCGAAAGCAUUAAGUAAUCCACCUGGGAAGUACGAUCGCAAGAUUGAAACUCAAAUGAAUUGACGGG